UGGGGAAUAUUGGACAAUGGGGGCAACCCUGAUCCAGCCAUGCCGCGUGAGUGAUGAAGGCCUUCGGGUUGUAAAGCUCUUUUGGCGGGGACGAUGAUGACGGUACCCGCAGAAUAAGCCCCGGCUAACUUCGUGCCAGCAGCCGCGGUAAGACGAAGGGGGCUAGCGUUGUUCGGAAUUACUGGGCGUAAAGCGAGUGUAGGUGGUUGUCAUAGUCAGGUGUGAAAGCCUUGAGCUCAACUCAAGAAAUGCACUUGAUACUGGGCGACUAGAGGACCGGAGAGGAUAGUGGAAUUCCCAGUGUAGUGGUGAAAUACGUAGAGAUUGGGAAGAACACCAGUGGCGAAGGCGACCACCUGGACUGAUACUGACACUGAGGUGCGAAAGCGUGGGGAGCAAACAGGAUUAGAUACCCCCGUAGUCCCUGAGCGGGCUGGCAAGGCGCAU
rnacentral:rRNA from 1 species